GCCGGGGUUGCGGAGCUAGGACAAACGCGCAGGCCUUGAGAGCCUGUGGGCCCUCCGGGCCCUCGUGGGUUCAAAUCCCACCCCCGGCGCCA
rnacentral:tRNA from 1 species